CGUAGUAACAACGAACUGUGAGAAGUCAGCAGAAGCCAUAGUAGACAGGUGGAAACAUCUGCCGAAGGUC
rfam:Clostridium clostridioforme CAG:132 genomic scaffold, scf287